UUGCAAUGAUGAAUUUCAUUGUCUAACAAAUAUAUUACGCUGGCUGUUUACACUUGUAUAAACGGUUGGUUAGAUUUCAGUGCACUUAAGGUAGCCUCUUUGAUUUGAAAUUUUCUCAUCGUAGUAGCUCCAUAAGUAAGUACUUUUAAAAAAUAUUUWACUUUUGUAAAAUUAUCUUUUG
rnacentral:misc_RNA from 1 species